rnacentral:rRNA from 1 species
UACGUAGGGUGCAAGCGUUGUCCGGAAUUAUUGGGCGUAAAGAGCUCGUAGGCGGUUUGUUGCGUCGGCUGUGAAAUCCCGAGGCUCAACCUCGGGUCUGCAGUCGAUACGAGCAAACUAGAGUGUUGCAGGGGAGACUGGAAUUCCUGGUGUAGCGGUGAAAUGCGUAGAUAUCGGGAGGAACACCAGUGGCGAAGGCGACUUCCUGGCCUGUUCUUGACGCUGAGGCGCGAAAGCGUGGGGAGCAAACGGG